rnacentral:lncRNA from 10 species
CAUCCAACACCUUGGAAUGCUUCCUUAGCUUCCCAACCAAGUCCGUGUGUACACCAGAGACAAUUUAAAGAACCAAAGGCUGGGCUGGGUAUGGUGGCUCACUCCUGUAAUCCCAGCACUUUGGGAGGCCAAGGCGGGUGGAUUACCUGAGGUCAGGAGUUCGAGACCAGCCUGACCAACAUGGUGAAAACCCCAUCUCUACUAAAAAUACACAAUUAGCUGGGCAUGGUGGCGGGUGCCUGUAAUCCCAGCUACUCAGGAGACUGAGGCAGGAAAAUUGUUUGGACCCAGGAGUCAGAGGUUGCAGUGAGCUGAGAUCGCGCCAUUGCACUCCAGCCUGGGCAGCAAGAGUGAAACAGUGUCUCAAAACAAACAACAACAAAAAGAACCAAAAGCUAAAAAAUAACACCACCUGCCAGCCAAAACACUUCUCAUCACUAAUCGCAACAAGGAUGCCCAGAUCUGGUGGCCACUUUUCCUUAAGGCUAUGAUGGCAUCUCCUAACGGUGACAUCACCCAGAACCUCCUCCAUGAGGGGAUUUAGACAGGGUCAGAGCAGUGGAACCUGCUCCUUGCCUCAGGACAACAUCUCACUUAAAGGGGGGACAAAAUUCCCCAACUCUGCCGCUCCACAAGCUCAACUGUUUCAUUAGCCGGGAGAAUUUAUUUUCACUCAUUAUUUCCAACAACUUUCCCCACCCCCUUCAGAAGGUGGGCCUCAUCUGUGUGGGGGGUAGUUGGGAAAAGGGGAGAUGACAAGACCGAUCCAAGUCAGGAACAGUCCAGGGAAAGAGGACUUUGCUUGUGAUGGCUAUCAGAGAUAGAUAGCUGGGAUCGCAAACUAUUUCAUUAAUUAGCAGUAAAGGAGCCCACUUCAACAACAGCUCCUCGUCUAUUUCCAGACAGCACUGCACAAGGCAAGCCGGCUUAGUCUGACAAAUCUGGCUGCACUUAUUUAUAGCAGGGAGAAGUCCUGCAGAAGUAUGUGUUGGCAGACACACUGACCAAUAGCUUCUGCUAUCUCUAAGUGACACGACUUUUGUUCAAAAGUCAGUAAGGCAGACAACAGCUAAUGUGGUACAUUAUCCCUUAAAAAGACCACACUCAGCUACCUUUGCGCUCCUAUGGCCAUGGACAGAACUCAGCUUGGAGCACACUGGAUUGACAGUAGCAAUACCUAGUCCCUCUCAACAUGUCCAAUUCUCUGGUCUCAGCCGCAACCUGGGCAGGUAGUAACUCUGGGCCUCAGACAGAAAACAAAGGGGGGACCCCAAAACUAGGGACCUGGAGAUGCUUUGCCAUAGAAUGGCUUGUUUCUCCCAGUAAUGAUCUCUGCAGUUGUUCCCUUUUAAUCUGGAGUCACGUGCAGCCUCUGAUCAGGUUUCCUCUGGCCUCCCUCCUGCCACGCCUGCAGCAUACCUCUCUCCAUGCUCCACGCUAAGGCCACAAUCUGAGGUGGCAGAGCACUGUGCUGGGAGUCCUAACUUGGCUUCCAACUUUUUGCAUUCGUUCUCCUUCUCAGGAGUCCCAUUUUCUUCAGAUUAGAUGAAAUAAAAGGGCUCUGACUAGUGCAAAGCACUGUUACAGCUGAGGUGACAAAUGACACCAGAUUUUCAAGUGACGCUUCCCUAAACUACCUCCACGACACUCUACAGCACAGAGCCUGGAUACCAUUUGUCCAGAGUAAAGCACUUCUCCACUCCAGUGGCAAACACACAGACCAAGGAGGUGGCCUGGCACACGCAGCUUUUGUGGCACUAACCUAAGUCUCUGCGAAAGUUUAACGCACAGAAACCUUCCCCCUGCUUCCUGCCUGCCCUGACUGAUCCUUUAUCAGCACAACAUCAGGUAGUCAAGGUUAGUAAAGGUGGCGGAGCGGGCAGGAGCUUUACAAUGUAAAACUUUCGCGGGGAAUUGUGUUUCAAACGUCCCGCCUUUUUGGCCAGCCUGUGAGGGGCACAAGCAAGGAUCUCUAACAGCCCAGCCCCACUGACAAGGACCACACGCAGUGGAAUGCCAGUGGCUUCACUCUAAUCCUGUUUUACAGUCUCCUUGGUUUCCAACCCCACUACCAGCAACACUAAUAAGUAGCCCAAGGUCACCCAGUUAGCAAGUGGUAG